rnacentral:rRNA from 1 species
GCUUGCUUCUCUUGAGAGCGGCGGACGGGUGAGUAAUGCCUAGGAAUCUGCCUGGUAGUGGGGGAUAACGUUCGGAAACGAACGCUAAUACCGCAAACCUCCUACGGGAGAAAGCAGGGGACCUUCGGGCCUUGCGCUAUCAGAUGAGCCUAGGUCGGAUUAUCUAGUUGGUGAGGUAAUGGCUCACCAAGGCGACGAUGCGUAACUGGUCUGAGAGGAUGAUCAGUCACACUGGAACUGAGACACGGUCCAGACUCCUACAGGAGGCAGCAGUGGGGAAUAUUGGACAAUGGGCGAAAGCCUGAUCCACCCAUGCCGCGUGUGUGAAGAAGGUCUUCGGAUUGUAAAGCACUUUAAGUUGGGAGGAAGGGCAUUAACCUAAUACGUUAGUGUUUUGACGUUACCGACAGAAUAAGCACCGGCUAACUCUGUGCCAGCAGCCGCGGUAAUACAGAGGGUGCAAGCGUUAAUCGGAAUUACUGGGCGUAAAGCGCGCGUAGGUGGUUUGUUAAGUUGGAUGUGAAAUCCCCGGGCUCAACCUGGGAACUGCAUUCAAAACUGACUGACUAGAGUAUGGUAGAGGGUGGGUGGAAUUUUCUGGUGUAGCGGUGAAAAUGCGUAAAUGUAUGGAAGGAACCCCCGGUGGCGAAAGGGGACCACCUGGGACUAAUGACUGACACUGAGGUGCUGAAAGCGUGAGGGAGCAGACGAGGAUUAGAU